rnacentral:misc_RNA from 1 species
CUAAGGAAAUUACGGAGACUACACAUUCGUCACUUUGUUCAGUUUUGAGAGGUUUACUCUCAAUCUUUGUUCAUUGAAAACUGGAUAUUGAAGUAAUCAACACAAAACCGAGAACACCGCGUUGAAUUGAGUUUUUUAAUAGUUCAAUUGCUUACUCGAUGACGCCUCUAUCGCUAGAGAAACGCAUCGAAACCCAACCGUAAGGUUGAUAA